rnacentral:rRNA from 1 species
CAGUCGCCGCGGUAAUACGGAGGGAGCUAGCGUUGUUCGGAAUUACUGGGCGUAAAGCGCACGUAGGCGGUUAUUCAAGUCAGAGGUGAAAGCCCGGGGCUCAACCCCGGAACUGCCUUUGAAACUAGAUGACUGGAAUCUUGGAGAGGUCAGUGGAAUUCCGAGUGUAGAGGUGAAAUUCGUAGAUAUUCGGAAGAACACCAGUGGCGAAGGCGACUGACUGGACAAGUAUUGACGCAGAGGUGCGAAAGCGUGGGGAGCAAACAGGAUUAGAUACCCCCGUAGUCCCUGUCUCUUAUAC